rnacentral:rRNA from 1 species
UGUAAGCGUAUACCAAAGUUGUUGCAGGUAAAACGCUCGUAGUCGGAAUUUGGCAGUUCCGGAUGUGUGCACGUCGUGUGCGCACUUCGCGGGGAUUGCUUUUGUGGUCUUGCGUAGGAUGAGGCACUUUUAUUAGUGAACGUCCUCACGCAACCACUUUUUACUGUGAGAAAAUCAGAGUGCUCAAAGCAGGCAUUUGCCGUGAAUGUAUUAGCAUGGAAUAAUAGAAUAGGACUUGGUUCUAUUUUGUUGGUUUGUUGGGACUGAGUAAUGAUUAAGAGGGACAGUUGGGGGCAUUUGUAUUUCGGUGCUAGAGGUGAAAUUCUUAGAUUACCGAAAGACAAACUGCUGCGAAAGCGUCUGCCAAGGAUGUUUUCAUUGA